rnacentral:rRNA from 1 species
UACGUAGGUGGCAAGCGUUGUCCGGAAUUAUUGGGCGUAAAGCGCGCGCAGGCGGUCCUUUAAGUCUGAUGUGAAAGCCCACGGCUCAACCGUGGAGGGUCAUUGGAAACUGGGGGACUUGAGUGCAGAAGAGGAAAGCGGAAUUCCACGUGUAGCGGUGAAAUGCGUAGAGAUGUGGAGGAACACCAGUGGCGAAGGCGGCUUCCUGGCCUGUUCUUGACGCUGAGGCGCGAAAGCUAGGGUAGCAAACGGG